GGGGAAUUUUGGACAAUGGGCGCAAGCCUGAUCCAGCCAUGCCGCGUGCGGGAAGAAGGCCUUCGGGUUGUAAACCGCUUUUGUCAGGGAAGAAAAGCUCUGGGCUAAUACCCCGGGGUCAUGACGGUACCUGAAGAAUAAGCACCGGCUAACUACGUGCCAGCAGCCGCGGUAAUACGUAGGGUGCAAGCGUUAAUCGGAAUUACUGGGCGUAAAGCGUGCGCAGGCGGUGAUGCAAGACAGAUGUGAAAUCCCCGGGCUCAACCUGGGAACUGCAUUUGUGACUGCAUCGCUGGAGUGCGGCAGAGGGGGAUGGAAUUCCGCGUGUAGCAGUGAAAUGCGUAGAUAUGCGGAGGAACACCGAUGGCGAAGGCAAUCCCCUGGGCCUGCACUGACGCUCAUGCACGAAAGCGUGGGGAGCAAAC
rnacentral:rRNA from 1 species